UACGUAGGGUGCGAGCGUUAAUCGGAAUUACUGGGCGUAAAGCGUGCGCAGGCGGCUGUGCAAGACAGAUGUGAAAUCCCCGGGCUCAACCUGGGAAUUGCAUUUGUGACUGCACGGCUAGAGUGUGUCAGAGGGGGGUAGAAUUCCACGUGUAGCAGUGAAAUGCGUAGAGAUGUGGAGGAAUACCGAUGGCGAAGGCAGCCCCCUGGGAUAACACUGACGCUCAUGCACGAAAGCGUGGGGAGCAAACAGG
rnacentral:rRNA from 1 species